UUAAAAAACCUACCUUCAAAAAAAAAAUUCGUCAGAACUUUAUUUCAAAAUAAUAUACAUUGUUUAUAUUUUUAAUUUAUUUUGGUACUUUUGUUUUUAUUAUUUGAAUUCUACAAAAGUAAAAAAUAAAACAAAAAAAAUUGAGUAUGCCGGUUAAUUAGUAGCAAGCCAGCUAAUUAGUUGCUGUGGGAAAAAAAAAAGAUCACAAGUCUACGUCAAACCCUUCAAAUUCACAGCUGUAUCAUACAGUUCCGUUGAGAUUCCGCCACGUGUCAUACUUAAUCACUCCUCAUUAUCUCUAAUCAUCAUCACAUUAUCUUCUUAAUCUAAUUACGAAAAAAGUAUGAACAGUUAAAAUGAGCCUUUUGAUAUAAUGAUAAUGGCACUGUUAAUAAUUACUAUUUUAACUCUUUAUGAAAAGUGAAAAAAAAAAA
rnacentral:lncRNA from 1 species